AGUCAGCAUUAAGGCAGCCACUGCUGGUUUCAAUCUUGUUCACAAGAAUGGCAUCUCUUUUCUCCAGGAGGAAAAAUGGCAGCAGCAGCAGUGGAUCCACACCAGAUUGUUGCCAAUGCCAGAGGUGCCAUAACUGGGGCGAAGGAUGGGGUGACGACUACCAUGGCUGGAGCCAAGGAUUCUGUAGCCAGCACAGUCUCAGGGGUGGUGGAUAAGACCAAAGAAGCAGUUACUGGCAGCGUGGAAAGGACCAAGUCUGUGGUUAAUGGCAGCAUCAAUACAGUUUUAGGAAUGGUGCGGCUUGUGAACAGUCGAAUAGAUAAUGCAAUCACCAAGUUGGAGCUGCUGGUAGACCAGUACUUCCCUCUCACUCAGAAGGAGCUGGAGACGGAAACAAAAAAGGCAGAAGGACCUGCUAAGGUUCAGAAGCUGAGAUACUGUGAGCGUCUGGAGUCCCUGGCCGCCAAGCUCUUCUUGAGGGCCUAUCACCAGGCUCUCAGCAGGGUUAAAGAGGUCACACAGGUCAGGAGACCAUUACUCAGCCGCAGAAAAUGAAGGAAUCCUUAGAUGAAGUUAUGGAUUACUUUGUUAACAACACGCCUCUCAACUGGCUGGUAGGUCCCUUUUAUCCUCAGUCUACCGAGGUGGACAAGGCCAGCCUGAAGGUCCAGCAGUCUGAGGUCAAAGCUCAGUAAACCCCUCCUUGUCCCCAGUGCAUGAUGUUGCUGGACAGGUGACCCCUUUUGCUGUAUUGAAGUUAACCUUGUAGAUGGCUUUAGCUUAGAUAAGCAGCUUCUUAGAACCAAAGGCCUCAUUAUGGUCACUCACAGCUCAGUUAUGGUCUUGCCCCAGCUGGCCCUGGCACAGGAGUUCUCUUACAGGUGAGUGGCCUGUGUUAGUCUUGUGAGGACCUCGAGGAACCUAAAAGCUCAGAUGCACUUACAGUCUUGUCUGUGGCCUUUGUAUUGUUAUUGGCUGUAAACAUCUGUCUGGACCGAAUAAAGAUUCAUUCACGU